rnacentral:rRNA from 1 species
AACGAACGCUGGCGGCAGGCCUAACACAUGCAAGUCGAGCGGAUGUAGCAAUACAUCAGCGGCGCACGGGUGAGUAACGCGUGGGAACCUGCCCUUUGGUACGGAACAACCCUGGGAAACUAGGGCUAAUACCGAAUACGCCUCGAGAGAGGGAAAGAUUUAUCGCCGAAGGAGGGGCCCGCGUCCGAUUAGCUAGUUGGUGGGGUAAAGGCCUACCAAGGCUACGAUCGGUAGCCGGUCUGAGAGGACGAUCGGCCACACUGGGACUGAGACACGGCCCAGACUCCUACGGGAGGCAGCAGUGGGGAAUAUUGGACAAUGGGCGAAAGCCUGAUCCAGCCAUGCCGCGUGAGUGAAGAAGGCCUUAGGGUCUAGU